rnacentral:tRNA from 1 species
UCGGGAUAUAGCUCAGUUUGGUAGAGUACCUGCUUUGGGAGCAGGGUGCCGUAGGUUCAAAUCCUACUAUCCCGAU